CUGUCCAUGAGGUUUUCGCUUUUCCCUCCCGGUAAUCACGCACUAUUCAAAGCCAAGAGGUGGAGCAGCUGAAACGUGCCUGAAACCAUUUCAUAGAAAUCCAUUCGCCUCUGGCAAGUCCUGUUGGUGGUGAGCAAAAAAAAGCCACAUGCAGCUUUUUCAGUUUGUUAUUCUCGGGACCGACAGCGUAGGAGAAAAAAAAAAGAAGGAGGAGGAGGAAGAAGAGGAGGUGACGACCGGGACUGGUCGCCCACACGCUGCCCUGCCUGGCGCGGCUACGAUAUUUUGUCCGAGAGCGCUUUGAAAAAUCCGCUGAGGACAAGUCACACAGUCAGUGUGUAUGUGUGUGUGCGCGCGCGCGUGUGUGAGCGCGUGUUACUGUAACUGCGCGUGUGUGUCUGUGUGUGCGUGAAUCGAUGAGAUACGUGCUUGAUUGGGUCUCCCUUGUUGUAAUGUACAUGAGGAGGAGGGGACGGGCUUAGGCUGCUCCCAUGCAUGCAGGCUGGCUGGAGCGCACGGAUCAACCGAGCUCUAGCGCCUACUGCCAAACACUUUGUUGGCCGCUGAUGGUACUUUUCUCCCUUUUUUUCGUUACGUGGCUUGAUAGGAGCUAUUUAAAUCAGCCACGCAGCGAAUCAGACGCGUCUCCCAACACUGCGCUCCGCUCUCCUUCCUGCGCCUCAAGUGACCGGAGAGGCGCAAAACCCUCACUAAGCGCUGUCCCUGUUGUUGGCACUGACUGGAAUAAAGUAAUGUUUUUCUUCACAGGCAAUCCUCGGGGUGGGACGCGUGGCUUCACGGCGGUGAAACAAAGGAUAAAGGAUUCUUGAAGAGGGGAAUGGAAGAGCAAUAUGGGCCGGUGCUGGCAUCUGCAAGAUCAUUUGUUACGAUCCAGUGCAUUUGAACUCAACUAGAACCAACAAUCUACCUGGGUAUGAGAGACCAUAUGCACACACACACACUUAGGUGCUAAGCAUCACACUCAUCUGUUAAACGGAGUGAACACGUCACUCUUUACUAAGUAGAAGUUUCACUCAUCUCUCGUCCCUCGCUCUCCCAUCUGUCCAUGUCAUCCCUCAGCACUCACCCAUCAGUUAGUCUAACACACACACACACACACCUUUCUCCACAUCAGCCAUCAGUUUGUCCGACAGACACAUAAAGGAACAUAUUCACAUUCACACACAGAUCAACUCCUUUACAUCACACAUCAGAUAACCCCAGAUUCAGACACACACACACACACACACACACACACACACACACACAACCGAUCGCACAUCAGUUUUAUCUUUUAUGCUAAAGUAGAGAGGGGGUGUUGCAGCGGGAGGGGUUGACAGGAGGGAAGAGGAAGUACACAGGAAGUACAUUAGUUAUCACUCCCAUGUCUUCUCCACCUUUUCACUUCUUAUCACCACUCGAUGUCUCAGACCCCAGCUGAGCUGCCUCUCCUUCUCAUCCCACCCCUUUCCUUUUCUCUUUCUGUCUCUCUUUCUUACACACACACCUCUAAAAAUGACUUCCGUGCUCCACUUUAGUGUCGGGCCCUGGGAUCUAGAUGACAUUUGGCAAGCUGCAGAAGCCGCGAGACAACUGGAUGAAAUAUUUAAAUGAAAGACGGCAGGGGUAGAAGAGGUGAAGAACAGAAGGGGGAAAAGAGGGAGAGAAAGGAAUACAGGACAGAGGGCGAGGGAAGGAGAGAGUGACGAUAUUCAGAUGGUGAGCAGAAUGUGAAGGAUUUCUUUUCUUGGCAAAGAGAUGGCCAUGUGACAAGAAGUGCAAAUGAUUUGGCUUUCACCUACAAAGUAUCCUGACUAAAAAUCAACCUCUGUAGUAUGAGAUCACAUCUUUUUGUCUUGGAAUCAUCAGCAAGUCUCAGUAUGUUUUAUACUACUUUGAGCACUGUGCCAGCUCAGCUGCUUGGAGUGGGGCUAUGAAUCUAAAACAUAAACAAAUUAAAUGUAACUCUGUUACAUUGUGACCUUAGAAUUAUAAGGUUCUAUUGGACUUCUAUCAGACUAAAUGCUGUAUGCUAAUGCUAGCAUGGCAACAUGCUCAAUGACAAUGAUAAGCUGAUGUUUAGUGGGUUUAACGUUUACUUUAUUUAUAAUCUUAGUUUAAUGUGUUGGCAUGCUAACACCGCUUUGCUUAUUUGAAUUUACAUCCAGCACUCUUGACAGUUACACAACUCAUUAUAAUGUUUGUUUGCAAGAGUCCCUCUUUAUGUUAGUAACUCAAUGUAUAGCUAAGUACAGAUCUUUAAAAUGCAGAUACAAGUGUAUCCUAAAAAUGCGAAAAUCGUGGAAAACUUAAUUUAAACAGCACUGAACCAGACUGAAAGAUUAAAGGCUAAGGAAACUUUGGCAGGUGUUUUGCUUUAAUUAGCUGAUUAGAUUUAUUCUCAGAUCGACAUUUCUGUGUUACAAAUUCUUUAUUCUAAAAUUCUAUAAUAUUUUGAUUAUUACAAGUUUUGAUUCCCACGUGCUGUAAGCUGUAGUCAUCAAGCUUAAAACAAAAAAGGCAUGAAACAUUUCACUUUAUGAGUAAUGAAUCUAGAAUAUAUGAAAGGUUCACUUUUAGAAUUAAAUUACAGAAACAAUUGAACUUUUCCAUGAUAUAAAAUUUUUUUUAGAUGAACCAAUACAUGAAGGUUUCUAGCAAAAUAAUUGCUAAAACAUUUUAGUGAUCUGAUGCCAACUCUAAAGUGCUGCAAACAGUAUGUGUGGCUGCUUAUAACUUAUCUACUACUGCAGACUCAAAAUGAUAACUACAUUCAGACAGCCUUGGGUUAUCAAGGUUGUCCAGGCAAAAAUGUAGAUGCUAAUUUGUGAGCAGAAAAAGACACACACAUAUAAAACAAUAGUGAAAGACUAAUUCUCUGGAACCUCUCAGUUCAUUUCCGAUUUCAACGGGUGCAGACCAAAAUGCCUCCGGACACAACUGGAUAGACAUACAAAGAAUUAGAGCAAUGAAAGUCGUGAUGUAACAUAGUAGAUAAAUUAAACUUGAAAUGUAUAGAUGUAUAGAAAAUAUAAUACUGAUGUGAUAGUGGAUUCAACAGAAAUAGUUCUACAUCAGCGGCAGCCAUCUUGGUUAUUUACGAAAAUACCUCAACAGCCAAUAAGGUUGCGCUCCUCUCUACAGUCAUUAUAUCAAACCGAUCCCACAUUCACUUUUUUGCAUAGUUUUUUAAUCCAUUAUUAUUUAUUUAUUUAAAAUGUGUAGCUGUGUAUGUGCUAACAUGCCUCAAAUCAAUGGUGCAUCAAAUAUUAAAACCAAAUAAGAUUAUAUUUAUAAUUAUUGCUUUACAAUUCCAAACAGAAAAUUAGUUAUUGUAUUAGGAGGUUCCAUUUAAAAUGGGGUUGGGAUUUAUUAUUAUAUAUUUCCUUUAGGGUGCCUGUCUAGUAAAACCUUUCUGCAUGUCAUUUUUACCAUUUAAGAAGGGAAAAUCUCAAUAUCUGGAUCACAAAUAGAACAUCAUAAUUAUGUUUGAUUUCCUCUCCCACUCAAGACAAAUACUUUUAAGUGUGUACAUACAUAUGUGUGUUUAUUCAAUUUGUCCAGUUGUUGAAUUCUUUAAUAAUUUUCUUACCCAGUUGUGUGUGCAGAACUGCAUGAUGGAUGUGCAAUUUCAUAUUUAAAAUCCAUACAUGUGUGUUUUUUCACUGUGUGUGUGUGUGUGUGUGUGUAGGCCUUUGUGCAUAUUCUGUAUGUAUAUAAUUUUACUGUACAACUAUAAACAUUUACGUAUGGGUUUGUGUUUGCAGUAUAAGUUAUACCCCUUUGUGCUGCAUUGCUGACUUGUAUGGUUCUUAUCACUGUUAAGUCUUGUUCUUACAGAACUGAACAUCAGGCCUGUCUGUCAAAGAAAUGAGGGAGUUUGUUAGCUUGUAUAGGUAACAAACAUAAAUGUGCAGCAAAGAAGUGAAUACAAUUUCACUGUGUCCUGCAGUUUUAUGAAUUGGAAAAAAGUCAAUAAAAAAAUGACGAUUUUA